rnacentral:rRNA from 1 species
UAUUUAUUAGAUAAAAAACCAACGCCCUUCGGGGCUCCUUGGUGAAUCAUAAUAACUUAACGAAUCGCAUGGCCUUGCGCCGGCGAUGGUUCAUUCAAAUUUCUGCCCUAUCAACUUUCGAUGGUAGGAUAGUGGCCUACCAUGGUGGCAACGGGUAACGGGGAAUUAGGGUUCGAUUCCGGAGAGGGAGCCUGAGAAACGGCUACCACAUCCAAGGAAGGCAGCAGGCGCGCAAAUUACCCAAUCCCGAUACGGGGAGGUAGUGACAAUAAAUACUGAUACGGGGCUCUUUUGGGUCUCGUAAUUGGAAUGAGAACGAUUUAAAUCCCUUAACGAGGAACAAUUGGAGGGCAAGUCUGGUGCCAGCAGCCGCGGUAAUUCCAGCUCCAAUAGCGUAUAUUAAAGUUGUUGCAGUUAAAAAGCUCGUAGUUGAACCUUGGGUCUGGCUGGCCGGUCCGCCUCACCGCGAGUACUGGUCCGGCUGGACCUUUCCUUCUGGGGAACCUCAUGGCCUUCACUGGCUGUGGGGGGAACCAGGACUUUUACUGUGAAAAAAUUAGAGUGUUCAAAGCAGGC